UCAUCAUGCCCCUUAUGACCUGGGCUACGACACGUGCUACAAUGGUUGGUACAACGAGUUGCGAGUCGGUGACGGGCGAGCUAAUACUCUUAAAGCCAAUCUCAGUUCGGAUUGUAGGCUGCAACUCGCCUACAUGAAGUCGGAAUCGCUAGUAAUCGCGGAUCAGCAUGCCGCGGUGAAUACGUUCCCGGGCCUU
rnacentral:rRNA from 1 species